UCAAAAACAUCUCCUCUUGAAAAUAUGAUAGUUAUAAGAGGUAGGCCCUGCCCGGUGCUUUAUGUAAACGGCGGCCGUUCGUAGCGGCUUUAAUGUAGCACAAUUUCUUGCCCUUUAAUUGGGGGAGGGAGGAAUGGGUUGACGUUGGGGGGUCUGUCUCCUAGGCAGUAGUGUAAAAAUUUUCUUCUUAGUGAAAAGCCUGAGAUAGCUGUAAAAGACGAGAAGACCCUGUCGAGCUUGAUUGUUACUUUACCACCAGCGAAGUGGGGGUUUAGUGAGAAGUUUAGUUGGGGCAACUCUAGAGAAAUUAAAACCUCUGGAUACUUUUUAUGUGGAUCCAUUAGUUAAUGACUUACAUUAGAAUAAGUUACCGCAGGGAUAACAGCGCGGCGCUCCUUGAGAGGUCUUAUCAAAGGGAGAGAGUGCGACCUCGAUGUUGGAUUAGGAUUGCUCGCUGGCGCAGCAGCUAGAAGAGUGGGUCUGUUCGCCCUUUGAAAUCCUACAUGAUCUGAGUUC
rnacentral:rRNA from 1 species